CUCGUGGACAAUUAGCAAACGCUUGAGUGAUUCUAGUUAAGUUGUAAUUAUUCACCGAGUGAGAGGUUAUUGUUUUCAAGCGUGAUAUUGAAUUCGGUGCCUGUUUUGUUAUUGAAUUCCUUGGCUAAAAUCUGAAUAUUGACUGAUUACCAAGACAAUUGAGCAAAUUUUCAAAAAGAGUCCAUUGCCGAACGGAUGUGGUUAUUAAAUAAACAAUUUGCGCAGUAAGGUAGUCAGGUUCAGUAAGUACUUUAUUUAAAAGCGCCAGUGGAGAAUAAUGUAAGUAAUCAUAUCCUCGCUAUUCAAGUCUCCUUCCUCGGAAACAAAUAAACCAUUGAAAUAUUGAGCGCGCCUGUUGCAGUUAGGUGUUUCAUGACGCAGUGCCUCCUGAGCUGUAUUGAAGAGUUCCUACUUUUGGCUUCACGGCCCGAGGAAUUUUGGAGAUGGUGGCUCUAAGAAAAGAGCUGACAACGGUUGACUCUUUAUUGUAUAACGACUAUGUCAUGAUGAAGGUUCAAGAGGCCGCAGAAAUGUCAACUUCUACUUAACAGGUUUUCACUGUCAGCCAGGACGAGGAAUGAGGAGACGUUUUGCUAGUUGAUCAAUGAAUGCUCUGCACGAUGAAGAUGAGAUGUAAACAGGGAACCAAGUGGAUCAGAAACUUGGCAAUCAGGAUUUACAUGCUGCAGUUAUCCAGAUCAGAUGCCAACAGCAACAAAGUGGACUAAAUCUUCAAGGAGUUUUCUUCAGAAGGGCUGUAUGUUCUGUUUUGCAAUCCAUCUCUUGGGGCAACUAGGUGAACAAAACUCUUGAAUAAGCCAAGUUCUGCUCUGAUUAUUUGACUUCAGACAUGCAGUUUAUGCCUUGAUUAUUUACACAAUGAGUAAGAAAAGCUCUUAAAUCACACUCUUU
rnacentral:lncRNA from 1 species